rnacentral:rRNA from 1 species
CCUACGGGUGGCAGCAGUGGGGAAUAUUGCACAAUGGGGGAAACCCUGAUGCAGCGACGCCGCGUGAAGGAAGAAGUCUUUCGGUAUGUAAACUUCUAUCAGCAGGGAAGAAAAUAACUGUACCUGACUACAAAGCCCCGGCUAACUACUGGCCAGCAGCCGCGGUAUUACGCAGGGGUCAAGCGUUGUCCGGAGUGACUGGGUGUAAAGGGGGCGUGGGCGGCGAUGCAAGUCAGAAGUGAAAGCCCGGGGCUCAACUCCGGGACUGCUUUUGAACCUGUGUUGCUAGAGUGCCGGAGAGGUAAGUGGAAGUCCUGGGGUAGCGGUGAAAUGCGUAGAUAUUAGGAGGAACACCAGUGGCGAAGGCGGAUUACUGGACUGUAAAUGACGCUGAGGCUCGAAAGCGUGGGGAGCAAACAGGAUUAGAUACCCUAGUAGUC